rnacentral:tRNA from 1 species
GCAGGAGUAGCUCAGUUGGUAGAGCAUCUGCUUGCCAUGCAGAAGGCCGCGGGUUCGAGUCCCGUCUCCCGCU